rnacentral:tRNA from 1 species
GGGGACUAAGCUCAGUCGGCAGAGCAACUCACCUGCAACGAGAAGGUCAUCGGUUCGAUUCCGAUAGUCUCCA